CACNUGCAANUCGAACGAGAAAGUUUCCUUCGGGAAGCGAGUAGAGUGGCGCACGGGUGAGUAACGCGUAGAUAAUCUAUCCUUAUAUUUGGGAUAACAUCGGGAAACUGAUGCUAAUACCGGAUACCCUUCCUUUCUGCCGGGUUAAGGAGGAAAGGUGGCCUCUUCAUGAAAGCUACCGUAUAGGGAUGAGUCUGCGUACCAUUAGCUAGUAGGUGGGGUAAUGGCCCACCUAGGCUACGAUGGUUAGCGGGUCUGAGAGGAUGAUCCGCCACACUGGAACUGGAACACGGACCAGACUCCUACGGGAGGCAGCAGUGAGGAAUAUUGCGCAAUGGGGGAAACCCUGACGCAGCGACGCCGCGUGAGUGAGGAAGGUUUUCGGAUCGUAAAGCUCUGUCAGAAGGGAAGAAGUGUUAUAUGGUUAAUACCCGUAUAAUCUGACGGUACCUUCAGAGGAAGCACCGGCUAACUCCGUGCCAGCAGCCGCGGUAAUACGGAGGGUGCAAGCGUUGUUCGGAAUUACUGGGCGUAAAGGGCGCGUAGGCGGCCUGCUAAGUCAGAUGUGAAAGUCCACGGCUCAACCGUGGAAGUGCAUUUGAAACUGUCAGGCUUGAGUAUCGGAGGGGAAAGUGGAAUUCCCGGUGUAGAGGUGAAAUUCGUAGAGAUCGGGAGGAACACCGGUGGCGAAGGCGACUUUCUGGACGAAUACUGACGCUGAGGCGCGAAAGCGUGGGGAGCAAACAGGAUUAGAUACCCUGGUGGUCCACGCCGUAAACGAUGUGAACUAGGGAUAGGGGGUGUUGAUCCCUCCUGUCCCGGAGCUAACGCAUUAAGUUCACCGCCUGGGGAGUACGGUCGCAAGAUUAAAACUCAAAGGAAUUGACGG
rnacentral:rRNA from 1 species